rnacentral:rRNA from 1 species
GAUGAACGCUAGCGGGAGGCCUAACACAUGCAAGCCGAGCGGUAGAGUUUCUUCGGAAACUUGAGAGCGGCGCACGGGUGCGUAACACGUGUGCAACCUACCUUUAUCUGGGGGAAAGCCUUUCGAAAGGAAGAUUAAUACCCCAUAAUAUAAUGAUUGGCAUCAAUUAUUAUUGAAAACUCCGGUGGAUAGAGAUGGGCACGCGCAAGAUUAGAUAGUUGGUGAGGUAACGGCUCACCAAGUCAAUGAUCUUUAGGGGUCCUGAGAGGGAGAUCCCCCACACUGGUACUGAGACACGGACCAGACUCCUACGGGAGGCAGCAGUGAGGAAUAUUGGACAAUGGGUGAGAGCCUGAUCCAGCCAUCCCGCGUGAAGGAUGACGGUCCUAUGGAUUGUAAACUUCUUUUGUACAGGGAUAAACCUACCCUCGUGAGGGUAGCUGAAGGUACUGUACGAAUAAGCACCGGCUAACUCCGUG